rnacentral:lncRNA from 1 species
UCCGCUAUUUCAUCACAUUUUCUAUUCGUUUUCUAAAUUUUGGUGUUUAUUAACGUUUUAAUUGCAGGAAGAUAUAAACUUGCUGAAGAAAGAUGCUCGAAAUACUUCGCUGGAAGUAAUCCCCACGAUUGUCUCAUGAACAGAGACCUCCGACGUCGUCUCUUGCUACUUUCAGUUUCAACCAGACGGCCAACCUUUUGUCAGUGUUCUUUCCGUCUGUUAACUGUUCGACGUAAUGCCAAUUAGAAACUUUUUAAAAAAUUAGGGUUUUUAUUUUUUAUUUUUUAUUUUUUAUUUUUUUCAGUUUCGAAAUACACCGAGUUCAUAAAUUGAAUGACAAAAUUGUUUAUAUGAUAAGAAAUCACAUACAGUUUUAACGGUUGUUCUUGAUUUGCUACAACUGAAUUAGUUGGGUGUUUCUUUUUUUUUUUUUUUUAAGGUGAAGGUGCUUAAUGAUUCAAGACCUAUUAUCCAUAAUGUUUCUGAGUCUUUUGUCAAUACUUUUGUUCUUUCUGCUUUCCAUACAGGGGAGUUCAUAAAACAUAAUUAUAUAUGGUUUUCAACCACAUUAAACUGUCAUUUUUUGUGUCAGAUUUUAUAUAACUAAAUCUAGUGCAGUGUUAAUGAAGGAUAUCUAAGACACAAUUUCGAGAGUUGCAUCACCAAUACUGUUCUAGUGCAGCAUUAGAGAGUUUCUAUGUUUGGGAUCUUGCUUUACUUCAAUGCCACUAAGCAACCGCCACUGUAGCUGCAGUGGAUGAUGCCUCCACCGCCAGAUAUGUGUGCCCAGCAACAACAGCAGGCACAACAAAUGAUGAAGCAGUCAGUAGCUCUUCCAGGCAAGUUAUUAUUAUGCCUUCAAAGAAUAUAAUGCUAACAGUAGCUUGAUGUUGAUUUGUUUAUUUAUUGUGUUGAGUUUGAGAGACCGCAGUGUCGAUUAUCAACACAACAACGGCUCGCCACAUAUUUUUACAAGGGUCUUUUGUAUGGUUUGAUAGGAUUCGGUUGCGGUCUUAUUGGACAAGGAAUUGCAAAUAUGAUCAUGAAUGCCAAACGGAGGUUAUGCUUUGUGAUUUAAUUGUUAGUCUCAGUUUGGGAAAGAGUAGAGGAAUACUCGGCUACGGAUAUGGAUGGCAUUGACUGGUGGACUUAUGCGGUUACCUUUAACUUUAACUGACGAAUCGUAUUUUAGGUGUUGAUGAUGUAUUGACAAACAAUUCUUUCUUUUUUGUUAACGUUAAAAUAUUUGUAGUAUACUUGACAAAUGAGAUUAUGUAAUGGAUUGUU